AACGAACGCUGGCGGCAUGCCUAACACAUGCAAGUCGAACGAAGCCUUCGGGCUUAGUGGCGCACGGGUGCGUAACACGUGGGAAUCCGCCCUUCGGUUCGGAAUAACAGUUAGAAAUGACUGCUAAUACCGGAUGAUGACGUAAGUCCAAAGAUUUAUCGCCGAAGGAUGAGCCCGCGUAGGAUUAGGUAGUUGGUAGGGUAAUGGCCUACCAAGCCGACGAUCCUUAGCUGGUCUGAGAGGAUGAUCAGCCACACUGGGACUGAGACACGGCCCAGACUCCUACGGGAGGCAGCAGUGGGGAAUAUUGGACAAUGGGCGAAAGCCUGAUCCAGCAAUGCCGCGUGAGUGAUGAAGGCCUUAGGGUUGUAAACCGCUUUCGGACAGAAAGAAAUCGCAUGGACUAAUACUCUGUGUGGAUGACGGUACUGUAAGAAGAAGCACCGGCUAACUACGUG
rnacentral:rRNA from 1 species